AGGUUCGCAGCGCACACACACGGAGCUUCUCUGCAGUUCUUCUCCGCGCGCGACGCCGGACUCAUAAAGAAGGCCAAGGAACUCCUCAGCCACUUUGCUUUUGGCACCGUCGAGAGCAAAAGUGUGGCGCAGGAUUAUAACAAACCGCUAAUAAUCCCGGCGGGCAGCGACAAUCUGGGCGCCAUUUCGGGCACGGUGGACGACAACCACGCCAUGACGCUGGAUGCUUGGAGGCACACCUUCACGGCAAGGUUCCCGCAGGAACACGAGGAGAAGUCGUCAGUGUUGCCAGAAGACCCAGGACGGGAUCCCAAUUACAGGGAACCCGACGUCGACAACCUCCGCGCUCAGAAGGAUGAGGACCUGGAGCGAGUUCGGCGGGAGGUCGGACGAAGCAGCGCGCGAUGGGCAGACCUCGAUCUCUCGUAGCGCCCUCUUACGCUGACUGAAUCCCCCCUUCCCCCCCAUAUCGAGGACGAGUCACUUUCAUCACACCAAGUGAGGCUGAUGGGCUUCUGAACUCCCCCCUGGAUGACGCCUGGGAUCUCGUGACGCCCCCUGCGAGACCCAUGCCAUGAGUCACCGCCCUCCGCUCUGCUAAUUGUCCUUAACCAGCAAUUAGCGGCGAUGAAUUAUUGACCUCACGACCUUUUACGAGGAGCCUGAAUGUCGUGUGAAUUCUAUUCUUAGCGUCGACGUGAGGAUAGUUUUUUUCGGACUGCUCCAAGAGAAGGAACGUUGUCCAGAUGAACAAUUUGUGAAUUUAUCACUUCUCACUACAGGUUAAUCAUGAGUGGACAUUGCACUAAAAAUUACCCAUAGGUUUCACGAAUGAAUUCCUAUUAAGUUCAUUCUCAGUAUUCACUAAUGUUCUUAAGAUGUCAUGUAUUUACUUACGCUUUCACUUGCACAGAAUACGUCCGUUUAUCUUAUGGCGUGAAGGUAAUUAUGAGCCAUAAAUAUACUUUGAAAUCUACUUUUAUAUCUAAUAUCAGAUGGCAUUAGUUUACAAAAGAAACCACAUGAGGGCAAACUUCAUUUAAAGAUGACUGUAUUAUGUGGUCUUAACAUACCUGUCGCGUGACAGGGUACUUGUAAAUCAACUUAUCUUUUUAUACGUGAAAUAGGUAUGGAUUAAUGACUGAAAAAUGACGAAUAAGAAGGCAGAUAUAUA